rnacentral:rRNA from 1 species
AACGAACGCUGGCGGCGUGCCUAACACAUGCAAGUCGAGCGCGAAAAGGGCAACCUGAGUAGAGCGGCGCACGGGUGCGUAACACGUGGGUAAUCUGCCUUAGAGUCGAGGAUAACCUUCCGAAAGGUUGGCUAAUACUCGGUAAGCUUACGGUGUCUUCGGACGCUGUGGGAAAAGUAGGCCUCUGUUUACAAGCUUACGCUCUGAGAUGAGCCCGCGGCCCAUCAGCUAGUUGGCGGUGUAACGGACCACCAAGGCAACGACGGGUAGCUGGUCUGAGAGGACGAUCAGCCACACUGGAACUGAGACACGGUCCAGACUCCUACGGGAGGCAGCAGUGGGGAAUUUUCCACAAUGGGCGAAAGCCUGAUGGAGCAACGCCGCGUGUGUGAUGAAGGUUUUCGGAUCGUAAAGCACUUUCGACCGGGACGAAAAACCUCUGGCUAACAUCCAGGGGCCUGACGGUACCGGGAGAAGAAGCACCGGCUAACUCUGUGCCAGCCGCCGCAGUAA